UUAUGUUGUUUGAUUGUUAUAAGAACUUCAUAUAUAACAAAAUUAAGAACUGAACUUUAUUGAAUGUUAAUAAUCCACUUCAAUUACAAAAUCAUUUGAAUAAGAAAGAUUACAUGCGGAUAGCAACAAUACCUAUUGAUCUAAAUCUACAUAUCACUGCAUUCUCAUUGCUCCUUGAGGAACUUUGAGCCAUGUUCCAUUCUUUGCUGGUCGAAUACACCGUGUAGCAGCUUGCAAGCUUGUUUUCCAGAAUGUCUUCUUGCUCUGCCAAUUCUCCAGUUGACUCGAGAGUUCUUUUGAGCCAAAGCUGCAACUAUGAUCUCCCUGAGAUAAUCUGACCAGUGCAAAGCAAAAAAACCAGUAGUUGAGGAGCACUUGAAUCUAUCAUCCAAACAUCAUUCUGCUUUCUGUUAUUGUCAAUAACAUAAGACAAUGUAUGCAACUAGGAAACAAAGAAGUUGGACCAAAAUGCCUAGGGCAAUAAUACUUAUAUAACAACACAUCAAAUACUUAACUGCCAAUAAUAGAGUAUUGACCCCACUUUUUUUAUUUAUUUGAUCUGAGCAAGAACCUUAUACCAAAAAAAUCUGAAGCCAAAUACAGAACAAUACAUCUAUGACAUAGGUAAGUUGCCCCUUUUUUUCCUUUUUCAUCUUUUGGUCAGGAUGUAGGCAUGCACUUUCUCUUUUUCUCUCAAAAAAGAAGAAGGAUGUAGGCAUGCAGAGAUUGAAGGAAAUAUAACACUAGAGAAGCACAACAGAUCAAGCUAAUACACAUCAAAUAAAACUCGCCUUUUACUUAUAACUUAAUACCAAUUAACUUAUACUUGGAACCUGCCGAGUCCAAUACCAGAAUCUAUGGUAGAACAAGUUUGAUAGAAUUUACCAAUAACUUUUGACUUAUGAAUUCAAAGACAACCCAACACUUUAUAUUCAGUCCUUAACGAUCAAGAACCAAGCUUACAUGAUUAAGGUAUUAAUUCAAUACCUUCCAACUUCUUUGAACUACUGCUCUUGUGACUUAAAAAGAUGAUCUUGUCAUCUAGCAAACUUUAAUUACUAUCACAACAUCAAUAUGCUAUAACAAUACACCCAGACCCAUACUCAAAAGAUCACAACCAGUCUUCCAAAGUAUGAUUAAAUGGGUAUAUACCUUUAAUUGAAAGCAACCAGAGGAUGGCCUUAAGUUUCUGGCUUCCUUCACAGCAACAAACAGAGUCCUCCCGUGGUUCACCUCCUCCACCACCUCACCAAUUCUGAUAACAAGUAUACCCAAACCUCAAAUUCAAUCUCAAUCCAUUUAAAUGAUCGAGAAAAUGACCCAAAAGGUAUCCAAAUACCCAUGUACAUGCCGAAAUGUGUAAUGCACCUUUGACUUAAAAACUCUAAUUGACAAAAGAAAAUUUGGUCAAAAUCCUAAUAGAUUUCUACAUAAGAAUAAUACUAUGGGGAGUAAUUGAAUUACAACGUAGGUUGUAGUAAUAACUAAACAUCCUUUCAUGCAGAAAAAAGUUGUACAAGCCCUGCAUAGGAACGCCGAAGAACUUCUCUUGUUGAUUUAAAUUGACACCCGGGACAAAAAGUGAAAAAUGAAAAAGACAACUGAUACAAAACUGAUGGUUUACAGAUCAAUGGCUUACUAAGUCAGAAAAAGAUAACUUUUAAUUAUUAUUGGGACAUGGACAUUGUAAAAAGGAUGAGUAAUACAUGAUUUUCUUAUACGACAACCGGAUCACUACCUUUGUGUCUUAGUAGGUAGCCUGAUGCAAAAUUAACAGAGUUAUAAGUUAAGUAUUGAAACCACAUUGGCCAAGUAUUGAUACCGACAUGGCAAAUGCUCAUUAUUCCUACUACAUAUUUGUGCAUUGUUCUGAUUUAUCUAUUGUAUUCAAGUACAUGAAUGUCUAAAUUGACUAUCAUCUAGACAUAUACUGGUUCCCUAGAAAUAUAUAGGCAUUCGUGUUGCACUAUAUAUAAACAAAACCAAAUAUGGAAGAAACAAAACAAGAAAAUGAUGACCCGAAGUGGAAAAAUUGUGCCUCUGUAGAAAUCUAACGGGAUGUAUAAAUGAGGAGGCAAACACAUUGGUAAUAAAAGUUCCUAUAAACCACCUGAUCAACUUUAGCCUUCGCAGAGAUCUAAACUUGUUGAGCACUUCAUACUCAUAAUUGAGAACUUCGCAGCUUUGAUUGUCGUUGAAGAAGCAAGCAAGGGCAGAAGCGCCGGAAGGCAGAAAAACAACCCAGAAAAGAGAAAAAUAAAUCCAACCAAAUACGAAAGCUAAACAUAGCGGAAUGUCGAGAAAUAAGAAACCCCAAAUCUAUAACCCAAUUGGUAGAAAUCCCAAAUCGUAAACCUUAGAUCCCAAAACAAAGAAAUGUCAAAAACCCUAACUGCUAGCAACGAUUUACGAAGAGGAACAAUCACAAAUACACAACUCAAAAACCCCAAAUUGUAAACCCAGAUCCCAAAACAAAUCAAAUUCGAAAACCCUAGAUAGAGAGUCUUACCAGCUAGCGAGGAGUAGAGCUAUGAAUGAGAGCUCAGAGUCAUCGAGAGGCGGAGAGGGAAGAAACGUGUUCUGAGAGAGGGAGAGAAAGUGGCGUCGAGAGAGAAAAGAGAUGGUCUUCUUGAUGAACUCCACAGAUUCGGCAAAUGAAGAUGUGGAUGGUGAAUUGGUGGGUAGGAGGGCUGACGGCAGCGGAGAGAGGGUUGGGAGGGCUGACGGCAGCGGAGAGAUGGUUGAGCGUCGAUGCAGGAGCCCCUCUCGCCUCAGUCUCUCUUUCCCUCUCGAACUGAAAUGGAAGAGGCUGGGGUUUCUUACCCUCGUAAGUGUUGACCCAACGGUUCAGAUGAGAAAAGAAAGGAUGUAGGGCUAGGAUUAAUUGUUGCCUUUAAAAAUUAGAAAUAGUUGACCAGCAUCUUGCUAACCCCUAACCUCUAAACUUAGCUUUUUUUUAUUCACCAAAGAAUUAAAACCUACUAAUGUAAUACAUGUUUACUAGCUAGGUUACAUCUAAACGUAUAUCAUUAUAAACCAAUUAUAUGGACGAAAUAAAAUUUGCAAAAUUUGAUUGUACGAUGUGAUCACAAUAGUCAAUUAUGUGUACAAUAGCAAACUUACCUAUUUUCGAUAACGUUUGGGUCUCAAUCGCAUGGGUCAACUUUAUUUACGUUUAAACUUCCAUGUGCUUCCUUAUGAGGAACUAUAUAAUCGGUUUAUAAAUAUGUCCAAAUUUUUACAAGGAUCAGUUUCGCCAAUACUCAAUGAGAGUUUGAGUAUUGAGGAAUCAAAAAUAUAAGUUUCGGUCGAAGUAGAUAAGAGCG
rnacentral:lncRNA from 1 species